AAAGUUCAACUUCUCUCCCUUUUUUUCCCUUCAAUUUUGUGUUCCCCCCUCUCUCUUUCUUUCCCUCUUUCUUUUCUUCCAUUAAAGCAUCCUCUCCAAGCUUCUUAUCCAAGGCUCAUCUUGGUGGUGAAUCUCCUUCUUCCAUGGCUUAUUCCCUAGUAGAUGGCGCCUCCUCUCACCUCUUCUCCUUUGUCUUCCGCUGCAUCUCCAUGGUGGAAAAUCA
rnacentral:lncRNA from 1 species